AGUACACACAUAGCAUUGCUUUUUUGGUUGGGUUGGGUAGAGGGUUUUCUUGGACUAACAUCUUUAAACAAUUUUCACUUGCAGUAGAAAUGAUGUUCAGGCUUUAAGAAAGUAUUGCAAAUUAUUAAUGGAACUAAUUUAUAUUUCCUGACAGUAGAUCAAGUUUAUUUUUGGUUGUUGUAGUCUACUUUUCACUAAACCAAAAUUACUUCUGGUUGUAACUCAGCUGCCAUUUGGCCUACCCUAUUCAAAGUAACAUAGUUACUUAAAUUCAUGGAUAUAUCCAAAUGUGUAUCAUGUAUAUCGUUGUAG
rnacentral:lncRNA from 1 species